UGAAGAUGCCGACCCAGCUCCAGGGAGGAAGGCAUGCUAAAGCCUCUGCCACUUCCACAGCUCUGGUCUCUGCAGUCCUUCUCAGGAUCCUGGGUGAACGCUGUUUGAGAAACACUGGUGUGAAUUGGGGCGUCCUCUCAAGUUGAUCUGAAUGGAAUAAAAACCUUUCUGAAGUCUAGGUAAGGUGGUACCUUCUACUUCCUCCUUGCCUACCUGGCCCGUAUCUGGAACAUCAGGAAGAGAUUACACCGUACUGGAGCCUGUCUCUGCCAACACUGAUGAAGAAUGUUCUCACCACCCCACCCUCCUUCCCGUGGCUGCUGGCCAUUGUCACCAACACACAGACACUCAUCAUGAGAGCUGGGUUCGAGGGGCAGUGAAAGAGAAUCAUGUCAUCCUCAGAGAAGGUGCAGUGGGAUUGCCGGAGAGGGUCUUCUGAGAACAUGCGAGGAGGAACCUACUAGGGGACUCACUUAUUUCAGUUACAGGAAAUGAGACUUCGCUUAUCUCCCAGAUGAGGAAACCAAGGCUGACAAA